rnacentral:ncRNA from 2 species
CGUCUCCGUUAGGGGAGUCCGGGGAGCCGGGCUGAGAGGGUGGCCGUAUCCGCCACCGACCCUACGAACCUGAUCUGGGUCAUGCCAGCGCAGGGAAACGGAGGCAGUCCUGA